GCCUUGCUGGCUUAGUCGGUAAAGCAUGUGGUUCUUGAUCUCAGGGUUGUGAGUUCAAGCCCCACACUGGGCA
rnacentral:tRNA from 1 species